CCUACGGUGGGCUGCAGUGGGGAAUAUUGGGCAAUGGGCGCAAGCCUGACCCAGCAACGCCGCGUGAAGGAAGAAGGCCCUCGGGUUGUUAACUUCUUUUAUCAAGGACGAAACAAAUGACGGUACUUGAUGAAUAAGCCACGGCUAACUACGUGCCAGCAGCCGCGGUAAUACGUGGGUGGCAAGCGUUAUCCGGAUUUACUGGGUGUAAAGGGCGGGUAGGCGGGACUGCAAGUCAGAUGUGAAAACCGUGGGCGCAACACAUGGCCUGCAUUUGAAACUGUAGGUCUUGAGUGUUGGAGAGGCAGGCGGAAGGCGGGGUGUAGCGGUGAAAUGCGUAGAUAUACGGAGGAACACCAGUGGCGAAGGCGGCCUGCUGGACAAUAACUGACGCUGAGGCGCGAAAGCGUGGGGAGCAAACAGGAUUAGAUACCCCUGUAGUC
rnacentral:rRNA from 1 species